rnacentral:lncRNA from 1 species
CUCCACUCCACCUUCCCUUUAUCUGUCCAAUCAUCAGCUAUCCUUUAUUUUACAAAUUAAGGUGGGAAGCAGGUUUAUAGGAAAUCACCUGAGUGCUGACUCAUUCCUUGUUCGAAACCCUCACAGGAGGAGGAACUAACAUUAAAUAUAAUUAGCCCCAGGGCUAUCCGCAACACCCAUCCAAUUAAAGAGUUGCCUUGGUCAUGGUGUCUGCUCACAGCAGUAAAAUGCUAAUUAUGACACUUUGUCUCUUCAGUGAUUGUAGAUUCUGUCGGGUUGACAAUUUCCAACAAUCACAGUUGAAGAAACACUGGCAUGAAGAGUGUCCCUCAGGUGCAUCCACUUAGAACCCCAGGACAUGACCUCCUUUGGAUAGAAGGCAUUUGCAGAUAUAAUUAGUGGAAGAUUUGACAUUAACACUGCUUAAGUGUGACCUUUUGGACUACAUCCUUGGCACAGACGCAAAGCUUGUUAAAGCUAAUACCUUGUUUAAUGGAACCUUGAAGAUCAAAGGCAGAAGAUCAGGGCAAGCAAGUCUCUUCCAAGACCCUGAAAGUCAUUUUCCUCCUGCACAGUUUUGACGUUCCGCCUCCCCGUUUGUUCUGAGCUGUAAUAGAAUCCUCUUGCUCUAAUUGCAGUCCAACGGAGACAGACAAUGCGUGUGCUUAUUUAUUAAACGCUACAAAGACUGGGAUGAAAAUUAAGAACAGAAUCAAAUCAAAGGCUUAGAUAUUUUAUCAUGCAUACCAUCACCCACAUAGCACAGGUCUGCCAACUGAGAGGGAAAAAAGGAUGAAAGUGCGGGAAGGGACAGAGAAGAUGGUGAGAAGAGAGGAGAGCUUUCUUGCUGAACUGGCCCUUCUCUGCACUCUGCUGACAAUAUUUGAAGACAGUAGAACACAGAAAGAGAGCAGAAGAAAUGCCUAUCUCGGAGUUGACCAGAUGGCUCAGUGGUAAAGGGCUCACUGUAAAAGCCUGAUGACCUGAGUUUGGUCCCUGAGACCCAUGUAAGGUGAAUCACAAUCUGAGCUCUGUGCAUGGACAUCUACAUACAUGACUUGCACAAACAUACACACAAUAUAAUACAUUUUAAGUACAUCUCUCAUCAGUCAAUACAUUGGGUGCCUACCUAUUAUACAAGGGUUGGG